UACAGAGGGUGCGAGCGUUAUUCGGAUUCAUUGGGCGUAAAGCGCGUGUAGGCGGUUCGGUAAGUCUGAUGUGAAAUCCCAGAGCUCAAAUCUGGAAGUGCAUUGGAUACUGCCAAACUAGAGUAUAGGAGAGGAGAGCGGAAUUCCUGGUGUAGAGGUGAAAUUCGUAGAUAUCAGGAGGAACAACAGUGGCGAAGGCGGCUCUCUGGACUAUUACUGACACUGAGACGCGAAAGCGUGGGGAGCAAACAGG
rnacentral:rRNA from 1 species